AGGAUUCACAGACCUGUACCCCUGAAGUAAAUAAUACAUUACAUAUUAAGAAAAAAAGAAAAAUACAGGAUUAAUAUUCCUGCCAUACCACGUACUCUCUCAAAUUAGGAAAAAAGAUACAAACGCCGUGAUAGAAAACUUUGUAAAGUAUACAAACACAUUAGAGUAUAAAAGGCCAGUAAACGAGACGCCAAUCUCAGUAAUAACCAGAGAGGGACAUUAAAUCAAGCACAAACCAUCACAUGGUGCCUAUCAGAUGGGAAAGAUGAAAGAACCUCCAUGUUGACAAGCGAAUGGAGAAAUACGUUCUCUGUGUGCGCAAGCACAAGUUGAUUCAGUCUAUUUAAAGAGCAACUUGGCAAUGUGGGCACCAAAUAUGGACAUUUGUGUGCAGCAAAAUUUAAAAAAUCUUAUACCUUUGGACCCAGCAAUCCCUCUUUUCAGUGGUCAAGAAAUACUGCCACACGAGAGCUGUUUUCAGGAGAGAUGCAGCUGGGGAGAGAUGGAUGUUUACUACAGCCUACUAUGUGUUUGGACUUGGACUUCGUGUUUUCUAAUGUAACCCACAGGCAGCCCUGUGAAGAAGGGACUGUUCUCACUUCAUAAGAGAGGACAAAAGGAGGCUCACAGUCAGACUGCUGAACAGAAAUCAAGGCUCGGAGAUGUAAGUGACUUGCCCAAGAACACACAGCCUGAGCCGCUCGGGAUUUGCACUCCUGCUUCUGCAGCAUUAAAUCACUGCUUUGUUCCAGAAAUUCUCGGCAGGCGAGGAAAGGCACACCAGUGAUGAGGUUCUCCAUCGCACUUCCCGUCGCAGGGAGAGCACAGAAGGCACCCGCCCGCUCGUCCGUCGGCACACGGAUGCACGAGCCAGCAUGCAAUCAGUCCCAGCUCAGCCAACCACCCAUGCGCCUGCCACAGGUGCCACGGAGCCACUGGACAGAAGGAAGAAGUUCUGUAUGUGCAGCCACCAAACAACAUUUGUGACUCUUUGCAUGGAACAAAAUAUAAGGUACAAAACAAAAAUGAAUAAAAUGUCCCCAU